rnacentral:rRNA from 1 species
GACGAACGCUGGCGGCGUGCCUAAUACAUGCAAGUCGAGCGCUGAAGCUUGGUCCUUGUACCGAUUGGAUGAGCAGCGCACGGGUGAGUAACGCGUGGGGAACCUGCCUUUGAGCGGGGGACAACAUCUGGAAACGAAUGCUAAUACCGCAUAAAAACUUUAAACACAUGUUUUAAGUUUGAAAGAUGCAAUUGCAUCACCCAAAGAUGAUCCCGCGUUGUAUUAGCUGGUUGGUGAGGUAAAGGCACACCAAGGCGAUGGUACAUAACCGACCUGAGAGGGGGAUCGGCCACAUUGGGACGGAGACACGGCCCAAGACCCUACGGGGGGCAGCAGUAGGGAAACUUCGGCAAUGGAGGGAAGUCUGACCGAGCAACGCCGCGGGAGGGAAGAAGGUUUUCGGAUCGUAAAACUCUGUUUGUAGAGAAGAACGAUGGUGAGAGUGGAAAGCUCAUCAAGUGACGGUAACUACCCAGAAAGGGACGGCUAACUACGUG